AGUGAACGCUGGCGGUAGGCCUAACACAUGCAAGUCGAACGGCAGCACAGUAAGAGCUUGCUCUUACGGGUGGCGAGUGGCGGACGGGUGAGGAAUACAUCGGAAUCUACUUUUUCGUGGGGGAUAACGUAGGGAAACUUACGCUAAUACCGCAUACGACCUACGGGUGAAAGCAGGGGAUCUUCGGACCUUGCGCGAUUGAAUGAGCCGAUGUCGGAUUAGCUAGUUGGCGGGGUAAAGGCCCACCAAGGCGACGAUCCGUAGCUGGUCUGAGAGGAUGAUCAGCCAAACUGGAACUGAGACACGGUCCAGACUCCUACGGGAGGCAGCAGUGGGGAAUAUUGGACAAUGGGCGCAAGCCUGAUCCAGCCAUACCGCGUGGGUGAAGAAGGCAUUCGGGUUGUAAAGCCCUUUUGUUGGGAAAGAAAAGCAGCAGGUUAAUACCCCGCUGUUCUGACGGUACCCAAAGAAUAAGCACCGGCUAACUUCGUG
rnacentral:rRNA from 1 species